rnacentral:rRNA from 1 species
AUGGAUACACUUAGUGGCGGACGGGUGAGUAACGCGUGGGUACCUGCCUCACACUGGGGGAUAACAGUUAGAAAUAGCUGCUAAUACCGCAUAAGUCCGCAUGGAAAAAACUCCGGUGGUGUGAGAUGGACCCGCGUCUGAUUAGCCAGUUGGCGGGGUAACGGCCCACCAAAGCGACGAUCAGUAGCCGGCCUGAGAGGGUGAACGGCCACAUUGGGACUGAGACACGGCCCAAACUCCUACGGGAGGCAGCAGUGGGGAAUAUUGCACAAUGGGGGAAACCCUGAUGCAGCGACGCCGCGUGAGUGAAGAAGUAUUUCGGUAUGUAAAGCUCUAUCAGCAGGGAAGAAGUGACGGUACCUGAAUAAGAAGCCCCGGCUAACUACGUGCCAGCAGCCGCGGUAAUACGUAGGGGGCAAGCGUUAUCCGGAUUUACUGGGUGUAAAGGGAGCGUAGACGGCAAGGCAAGUCUGAAGUGAAAGCCCGGUGCUUAACGCCGGGACUGCUUUGGAAACUGUUUAGCUGGAGUGCCGGAGAGGUAAGCGGAAUUCCUAGUGUAGCGGUGAAAUGCGUGGAUAUUAGGAAGAACACCAGUGGCGAAGGC